rnacentral:misc_RNA from 1 species
GAUGAAGAACGCAGCGAACUGUGAUAAGUAAUGUGAAUUGCAGAAUUCAGUGAAUCAUCGAGUCUUUGAACGCACAUUGCGCCCCCUGGCAUUCCGGGGGGCAUGCCUGUCCGAGCGUCAUUGCUGCCCUUCAAGCCCGGCUUGUGUGUUGGGUCGUCGUCCCCCCCGGGGGACGGGCCCGAAAGGCAGCGGCGGCACCGCGUCCGGUCCUCGAGCGUAUGGGGCUUUGUCACCCGCUCGAUUAGGGCCGGCCGGGCGCCAGCCGGCGUCUCCAACCUUCUAUUUUACCAGGUUGACCUCGGAUCAGGUAGGGAUACCCGCUGAACUUAAGCAUAUCAAUAAGCGGAGGA